rnacentral:rRNA from 1 species
AGUGAACGCUGGCGGUAGGCCUAACACAUGCAAGUCGAACGGCAGCACAGUAAGAGCUUGCUCUUACGGGUGGCGAGUGGCGGACGUGUGAGGAAUACAUCGGAAUCUACUUUUUCGUGGGGGAUAACGUAGGGAAACUUACGCUAAUACCGCAUACGACCUACGGGUGAAAGCAGGGGAUCUUCGCACCUUGCGCGAUUGAAUGAGCCGAUGUCGGAUUAGCUAGUUGGCGGGGUAAAGGCCCACCAAGGCGACGAUCCGUAGCUGGUCUGAGAGGAUGAUCAGCCACACUGGAAGUGAGACACGGUCCAGACUCCUACGGGAGGCAGCAGUGGGGAAUAUUGGACAAUGGGCGCAAGCCUGAUCCAGCCAUACCGCGUGGGAGAAGAAGGCCUUCGGGUUGUAAAGCCCUUUUGUUGGGAAAGAAAAGCAGCAGGUUAAUACCACGCUGUUCUGACGGUACCCAAAGAAUAUGCACCGGCUAACUUCGUG